UACGUAGGGUGCAAGCGUUGUCCGGAAUUAUUGGGCGUAAAGAGCUCGUAGGCGGUCUGUCGCGUCGGAUGUGAAAACUCGGGGCUCAACCCCGAGCCUGCAUUCGAUACGGGCAGACUAGAGUUCGGUAGGGGAGUCUGGAAUUCCUGGUGUAGCGGUGAAAUGCGCAGAUAUCAGGAGGAACACCAAUGGCGAAGGCAGCACUCUGGGACGUGACUGACGCUGAGACGCGAAAGCGUGGGGAGCAAACAGG
rnacentral:rRNA from 1 species